rnacentral:rRNA from 1 species
GAUGAACGCUGACAGAAUGCUUAACACAUGCCAGUCCACUUGAAUUUGGGUUUUUAACUUAGGUUUGGGUGGCGGACGGGUGAGUAACGCGUAAAGAACUUGCCUCACAGCUAGGGACAACAUUUGGAAACGAAUGCUAAUACCUAAUAUUAUGAUAAUAGGGCAUCCUAUAAUUAUGAAAGCUAUAAGCGCUGUGAGAGAGCUUUGCGUCCCAUUAGCUAGUUGGAGAGGUAACGGCUCACCAAGGCGAUGAUGGGUAGCCGGCCUGAGAGGGUGAUCGGCCACAAGGGGACUGAGACACGGCCCUUACUCCUACGGGAGGCAGCAGUGGGGAAUAUUGGACAAUGGACCGAGAGUCUGAUCCAGCAAUUCUGUGUGCACGAUGAAGUUUUUCGGAAUGUAAAGUGCUUUCAGUUGGGAAGAAACAAAUGACGGUACCAACAGAAGAAGUGACGGCUAAAUACGUG